rnacentral:rRNA from 1 species
AGCACCGAAGCCUGUGGUCAUUUGGCCAUUAGGCAAUGUGGUGUUUAGGUCGUUCCGCAGGGACACUGCUCCUCUCUAAGUCCAUCAAUGAGUACGGUUGUACUGACAUGGCCCAUGGAGGGUGAAAGGCCCGUGAGAGAGGAGUUUUGUUGUGACAGUGUCCCUCUGGAUUGACCUUGGAGUCGGGUUGUUUGGGAAUGCAGCCCUAAGCGGGUGGUAAACUCCAUCCAAGGCUAAAUACAAGCACGAGUCCGAUAGCGAACAAGUACCGUGAGGGAAAGUUGAAAAGUACUUUGAAGAGAGAGUAAACAGUGCGUGAAACCGCUUAGAGGUAAACGGGUGGAGUUGAACUGCAAUCUCUGAGAAUUCAGCUGGGGAAAUUUGCUUGAGCUUGGUCAUUUGGGCAGGGCCUCGAGGUAUGCUUAGCUGCAUGUCCUGAUCUCACGGUCGGGAUGCGCGUUGCUCUUAUCAAGGGUUGCGCGCCUCGGGUGUCCGGCUGGCUCGUUCGCCAGUGCACUUUCUCAGAGUGAUCAUCACGACCGGCGCUGCUGCUGGGCUGUUUUAGUUAAAUCGGACAUUCAUCGUCCUUGUGGCGUUGGGUGGUCGACACGGCAGGUAACUGAGUGCUCGCUUCGGCUUGCUUUCCGGUGUAUGCUGGCUCUAACGGUUCUGUGCGGUGUGUCGGAGACGGCGGCUUGUGGUGUGUGCAUGUGUGCCUAUCUGGUGGCAUAUUCUGGUUUGGUAGCUGUGUGCUUGUUCAAGCAGGCCCAGUUAUAGCUGGAGUGUGUCAUUGGGUGGUUGCGUGUGUGUCACUUUUCAGGGCCAACAGUCUGUGAUGUCGUGGUAGACUAUCCACCUGACCCGUCUUGAAACACGGACCAAGGAGAGUAACAUGUACGCGAGUCAUUGGGCGUAACGAAACCCACAGGCGCAGUGAAAGUAAAGGUCUGGCUUGUCCAGUCUAAGGUGAGAUCCUGUCGUUGCUCAUGCGCGGUACCCCCAAGCUUGGAGCGAUAGGCGCAUCACCGGCCCGUCCCAUGACGUGGUCACAGUCCUCGGAUUGUGCGCCGUCGGGGCGGGGCAUGAGCGUACAUGUUGAGACCCGAAAGAUGGUGAACUAUGCUUGCGCAGGUUGAAGCCAGAGGAAACUCUGGUGGAGGACCGCAGCGAUUCUGACGUGCAAAUCGAUCGUCAAACGUGAGUAUA